rnacentral:rRNA from 1 species
UACGUAGGGUGCGAGCGUUGUCCGGAAUUACUGGGCGUAAAGAGCUCGUAGGUGGUUUGUCGCGUUGUUCGUGAAAACCGGGGGCUUAACCCUCGGCGUGCGGGCGAUACGGGCAGACUUGAGUACUGCAGGGGAGACUGGAAUUCCUGGUGUAGCGGUGAAAUGCGCAGAUAUCAGGAGGAACACCGGUGGCGAAGGCGGGUCUCUGGGCCGAUACUGACGCUGAGGAGCGAAAGCAUGGGGAGCGAACAGG